rnacentral:rRNA from 1 species
GAAGGAUGUAAUGUUACUAGCGGCGGACGGGUGAGUAACGCGUGAGCAACCUGUCCCUUAACAGGGGGGAUAACACAGCGAAAGUUGUACUAAUACCGCAUGAGACCACAGAGCGACAUCGCUUAAGGGGUCAAAGGAGCAAUCCGGUAAGGGGUGGGCUCGCGUCCGAUUAGAUAGUUGGUGAGGUAACGGCCCACCAAGUCGACGAUCGGUAGCCGACCUGAGAGGGUGAUCGGCCACAUUGGGACUGAGACACGGCCCAAACUCCUACGGGAGGCAGCAGUGGGGAAUAUUGGGCAAUGGGGGGAAACCCUGGCCCAGCAACGCCGCGUGAGGGAAGAAGGUUUUCGGAUCGUAAACCUCUGUCCUUGGUGAAGAGAAAGAGACGGUAGCCAAGGAGGAAGCCCCGGCUAACUACGUGCCAGCCGCGGC